GGGGGCAUAGCUCAGCUGGGAGAGCACCUGCUUUGCAAGCAGGGGGUCAUCGGUUCGAUCCCGUCUGCCUCCACCA
rnacentral:tRNA from 1 species